rnacentral:lncRNA from 1 species
AUAAAAAUAAUUGGGACUAUGCGGGUUGUCACAUACCCACAUAAUCUGAAUGCAAAAAUUGAAAAUACAAAAAGUACAUGUCAUGAUACAGCAAGUUCAUACUGUUUACUCUCCAUGUAUUAAGACUACAACCUGUCAAGAUACAGCAAGUACAUAAUCUGAAUGCAAGAUAAAUUGCAUUAAUACAACCUACCAUCCUUUAUUUGCAGCAAGACUAAAGACAAAAUCAAUUAUGAUAAGACUAGAGGCUAAAACAAGAUGAAUUUUUUUAGCUCUUCAAGAUCUUCCAUCACCAUCAACCUGCCAUCCUUUUUUUGCAGCAAGACUAAAGACAAAAUCAAUUACAAUAAGACUAGAGGCUACAACAAGAUGAAUUUUUUCAGCUCUUCAAGAUCUUCCAUCACCAUCAACCUGCCAUCCUUUCUUCAAGUAGCAAACUAGCAACCCAUAUUUCCUGUAAAAAAAUAUGUCCGUCAGUCCAUUUGCAUCAUAAGAAUCCAUUUUACAGGAUAACUUAGGACUUUACAAGAAACAUUGGAAGUCAAACAAGUAGCAAAGUAGAAACAUUCAACUUUUCUUCAGAACAGAGGGCAGAUGAACAUUUUGCAGUAAUAAGAAUGCUGCUUGUUGCACAGUAGCUUAAAUGAUUCAAGGCAAUCACUACAUAUACCAUGAUCUUCUUCAUCUGUCUCCAAUGAUACGCC